rnacentral:rRNA from 1 species
UGGGGAAUUUUGGACAAUGGGCGCAAGCCUGAUCCAGCCAUGCCGCGUGCGGGAAGAAGGCCUUCGGGUUGUAAACCGCUUUUGUCAGGGAAGAAAUCUUCUGAGUUCAAUACCUCGGGAGGAUGACGGUACCUGAAGAAUAAGCACCGGCUAACUACGUGCCAGCAGCCGCGGUAGUACGUAGGGUGCAAGCGUUAAUCGGAAUUACUGGGCGUAAAGCGUGCGCAGGCGGUUUUGUAAGACAGAGGUGAAAUCCCCGGGCUCAACCUGGGAACUGCCUUUGUGACUGCAAGGCUUGAGUGCGGCAGAGGGGGGAUGGAAUUCCGCGUGUAGCAGUGAAAUGCGUAGAUAUGCGGAGGAACACCGAUGGCGAAGGCAAUCCCCCUGGGCCUGCACUGACGCUCAUGCACGAAAGCGUGGGGAGCAAACAGGAUUAGAUACCCUGGUAGUCCACGCCCUAAAACGAUGUCAACUGGUUGUUGGGAAGGUUCCUUCUCAGUAACGUAGCUAACGCGUGAAGUUGACCGCCUGGGGAGUACGGCCGCAAGGUUGAAACUUAAAUGAAUUGAC